GCACUGCUGAUGAGACCCAACCUGGUCGAAACAGCUGUCCAGUGC
rfam:Echinostoma caproni strain Egypt genome assembly, scaffold: ECPE_scaffold0000645